AUGAAAACCAUCUCUUCUUACAGUUCACCAAGUCGAGGUGCAAAUUAUGGUCACACAUUUCUAAUAUUCCUAUGAUAUGAUUUUGAAUUAUCUACUGGCCCUUUUCACACAUUGGAUUCCACUUGCCUAAUCUCUGUGAUGCAUACCAAAAACUCCAGGAAGCUUAAUCAGCCAAAAGAACUGAGGGGACAAGUCCACUCUAUGGCCAAAUGCAUUAACUGAAAGAGAGCAAUCUUCACUGAAAACCAAAGUUAUUUCAAAGAUUGAGGAUAAACUUCCAAGGAUUAUUAACCUAAUGGCAUAAUUAUUCUGCAUGAUUCUAAAGAUCCUCUCUAAGUUCAUCAAGUCAUCAUGUUUGAACAUUCUAGUGGUCCCUGCAUUACUAGCUGACUGGAGAGUUGAAAGAAAAUGAAGGAGGUUUUGACUGGUCGGUCACACACAGUCUUCACUGAGAAGCUAGUAUUCCUCUUCUUCAACAAAAAAGAAAAUUCAUAAAAUGAAAUCUACAUAAUUGCAUCUCCUAAGGAUUAUUGGAAGACUACAAUAAAGCAUUUUGUCAAAUGAAUGUGCUGAGGUAAAAGAAAAUAAAUAAACAAAUAAUUAAAUGGA
rnacentral:lncRNA from 1 species